UCCCUGGUGGUCUAGUGGUUAGGAUUCGGCACUCUCACUGCUGCAGCCCAGGUUCAAUUCCCGGUCAAGGAA
rfam:Loxodonta africana unplaced genomic scaffold scaffold_0, whole genome shotgun sequence.